rnacentral:rRNA from 1 species
GAUGAACGCUAGCGGCGUGCCUAAUACAUGCAAGUCGAGCGAACAGACGAGGGGCUUGCUCAUCUGACGUUAGCGGCGGACGGGUGAGUAACACGUGGAUAACCUACCUAUAAGACUGGGAUAACUUCGGGAAACCGGAGCUAAUACCGAAUAAUAUAUUGAACCGCAUGGUUCAAUAGUGAAAGACGGUUUUGCUGUCACUUAUAGAUGGAUCCGCGCCGCAUUAGCUAGUUGGUAAGGUAACGGCUUACCAAGGCAACGAUGCGUAGCCGACCUGAGAGGGUGAUCCGCCACACUGGAACUGAGACGCGGUCCAGACUCCUACGGGAGGCAGCGGUAGGGAAUCUUCCGCAAUGGGAGAAAGCCUGACGGGGCAACGCCGCGUGGGUGAUGAAGGUCUUCCGAUCGUAAAACUCUGCUAUUAGGGAAGAACAAAUGUGUAAGUAACUAUGCACGUCUUGACGGUACCUAAUCAGAAAGCCACGGCUAACUACGUG